ACCAAAGGUAUAAUGUGUCCUGGAAGCAAAAACUGUCUAUGCGGAUCAGCCAACUUGAAGAAAUAAACUGUGCUUGCUCAGAAGGAACUAGUUGUUCUACCUUAUUCCGUUGGAAAUAUAUGGAUGUUAGCUUUAAGAGGAAUUUUACGGAUUGUGAUUUCAAGUUUUCUAGACGAUGUUUUGAUGAUUUUCGUACAGGACGCUAGUCAGCCAAGUCUACUCGGAAAUCGUAAAGUCUGUUGGGAUAAUUCAGUUGAAGCCCAAAGCCCAAGAUUGAAUGUGUUCAGCUAACUUUAAUCCUCUUUCAAAUGGGUCUGAAGUAAUUACUUGGGAAGUUUACUCGCCACAUCAUCAAUCGUGUAACACAAAUGAUGAAAGGAUAUCACAGGAACUAAUUAUGAUAGGAUUUGUCUAUUAUAUAAAGUAGAGGUUUUUGGUGUUGGAAAUAUGCCCUGAAAGUCAAUCUUUGGAAGAAAUCUUUCAGGACAAAUAUAUGGAUGUAUGGAUGAAUCUUAUACAUCAAAUGGCAAAGACAUGAAUUAGGACUAUCUCAAUAAACGAUAUAUGUCCUAAAUAGUGUAUCCAUGGACAAUGGAUCGAUUGAAGAAGUAAUCUAAUGAUGUUAGACUACAGAGACCUUCUUCAUAUAACCAGAUGUCCAAAAAGGUUCCUGAUCGUUGGAUUGUCGGAGGGAUACUGACAAUGCGGAGACCGGUACAUACUAUGUCUGCUUCAAUUGGAAGGAUGGAAAGUCUCAUCCCAUUCGUGUUGUGACACUAAGACAAGUAUGUAGGUGCUCAUUAAGGGAAUGAGUUCACUGAACACAAUCAAACGGGAGUACUUGCAUGGAGGUCUACUCACAUGUCAAGCAAGUAACUCUAAUGGUUGGAAAGAUGUAAGUAAUCCUUAGACCUGAGGCAUCGUCGUUGUCUUGUGGUUAAGUACUUAAUCUUUUGAUUAUGUCAAAGUCUCCCCAUUCGAGGGUGUCCACGGCAUAAUUGGGGUUAAGCCACUUAGUCAUGAAGGCAAGUGUAUGCGCAACAAGGAAUCUCUAAUCCUCGAUAAGAGAGGAAGAAUACUCUAAGAUAUGAUUCGGGAAUCUUCGGCCGAAGUAUCGAGCGUAAUAAAGGAAAGCGUUCCUAUACGACUCAAUUGGAUCAUAUAAGAAGGAAUAAUCACAUUAGGGGUUUGACAUGAUAUAUAUCCAUACCCUAAUGAUGUGAUUGAGAGUAUUGUAUUAGAGAAUGAUUGAAUUACAUUGUAAUUCCAACUGACUAGGUUCUCCGAAUAAACUUCUACAUUAGCUUGGGUAGCUAUGACAUAUGGUUAGAUGUCACUCAUAGCUUGUGAGUUCUUCUAGAUGAUUAAAUGUAGUCGUCAAAGAAGAAAGGUGAAUUAAAAUGAAGUUUUAAUUCACUAAGUGAUUGAAUUAAAUAUGAGCAAUUGGAUUGAUGCCAAUCACCUCACUGCCUUGCUAAUUAGAACCUAAAAGGUUGUUCACCAAUACACUAUUGUAGUGAGUAACUAAUGGAUGAUGGAAACAAUUAAUUGGAUUAAUUAUGUGUUGUGAUUAAUUUAGAAAAGUCUAAAGAAAUCAUAAAAGCGAUAAAGAUCGUUUUGGGCUUAAAGAAACGUUCGGGUUUAAUUAGGCCCAUUGGGCCUAAACCCAUUGGGCUUUUAUAAAAGCAUUGGAUGACUUGAAAUAAUAAAAGCCCAAAGCCCAAAAACAACACAAAGGGGCCGGCCACUUUAGGUGAAGAAAGGAGAGAUAUUUAGUCAAGUGUUGACUAGGUUUCUUUUGUCUAUAUAAGGAACUUUAUAAGAUAUUGUUCAUUAGGGUUUUUUGUGAGUUUUGAACAACAAAAGAGGCAAAAGAAAAUAGCUCUCUUGAACCACAAAAGCCGGCCACCAAAGGGGAGUUUUUACUAACAUCUCUUACACCCUUUUGGUUAUUCCUUCAUCCUUCUCACUACACUAGUGGGUGAGGAUCUUUAGAGGUUUCCUACUUUGGGAACUUGAAGAGAACCUAGGAGCACUCAUUGUAACAAAGUGGAGGAGGCAAGGAGGGAAGCUAGGCUCAAGGAUUUCAAGGAGCAAAGGCCUUGGAGGUGGUCCAUCCUUGGUCUUAAGUCUAGAUCAAGAGGUAUAAGACUAACCUUCACUUUGUUCUUGAUUCUAAAAAUUGUUUUGAUGCAUUAUAUAUAAACCUAUGAACCUUGAAGGGGAUUUGCAUGACUAUAGCUUUGAUAAUAUGUUAUAAAUGCUUCCGCUGCUUUCGUAUAUUAAAUUUUGAUUUGUAUAUGCAUGAUAGUCAUUAUGAUGAAAUCCCAUUCUAGAAUCUCAUAAUUUUCCCUUCAAGUGGUAUCAGAGCCAAUGGUUUAUGUAUAAUGUGUCCUUUUGGAUUUUAUGCAUAUGGGUAUUAAUGUUAUCUAUGACAUAUUUAUUUUCAUUCAAAGUAUGUUUAUCUUUUGUUUUUCAAUAGUUGAAAAAUGUUAGUCAAAAGUUGAGAAAGAUAUGUUUGCAAAAGUGUUUUGUAUACAUGAAUGAAAAAUGAGUUUAGAACUAGUUAGACAUAUUAUUUCUUCAUUUAAAAGUAUGUUUGUCUUUUGUUUUUCAAUGGUUGAAAAAUGUAAAUCAAGAGUUGAAAAAGAUAUGCAUGUAAAAGUUGUUUUGUAUGCAUGAAUGAAGAAUAAGUCAUGAACAAAAUUUGGGGUUUUGUUCAAAAGGGUAGGCACGGUUUUGGGGGUGGUUUUGGGUUGUGUUUGUGUUUUAUUGUAAACCACUCACACAUCCUAUUAAAGCUUAAAAGAAGUGUUCUUGUCACUUUUGUUUUUGGGUUUGAAAAAUCACCAAGAAUAUAUAAAUCUUGAAAUUGUGCUCAUGGUUUUGUUCUUGGUGUUCAUGGUUUGGUUUUGGGUGAAAAUGGUUUUAAUUGAUUUUCAUGCAUGGUUUUAUGGUUUUGGAUGAUGUUCUUACCAUCCAUAACCAUUUUAAAAACUUAUAAAACCCUAGACUUGACUAGGAGGAUUUCCAUCACCCAUCUCACCUAAGUUUUAAUGGCAAAAACCAAGUGACAAGUAAAAUUUAAUUUUUCUUACAUAAUGUGGCUUUUAAUGCAUGUUGUGUAAGAUUGUGUAAGACAACUCCCAUCCCCUUAAUGUGGCCGGCCUCCCUAGUGGAUUUAUCCACUUGUGGGGCUAUUUUGUAAUCUUUAAAAAGUUGAUAUUUACUUUGAAAUAUUUACGGUUUUACCCCUAACUUUUCAUAUUUACAUUUAGGCCCCUACUAACUAGAAAGUUAAAAUAUUUGAUUUUAAUUUUGUUAGUUGUUUAAACUCAUAAUUAUAUUAUGCCCAUAUGCACUAAAUCUAAAUGUUUAUGUUGCAUUCCAUUAUGAUUAUUUAAAUGUGUUUAAGUAGUUAUAAAAUGGAUGACUUUGGACUUAUACCUUAAAUGAUAAUUGAGCUAUAUGAUAAGGCGCUAAAAUCAAUUGUUUGAACCUUGGGAAUGUGUUUUAAUUACUGUUUAAUUGGACCUUGUCACGUUUGACGUUAAUCUUUCUCUCCCCUUUUAGUAUAUGUAAUUUAUAGGAAUUUGUACAAAUCGGUUUGUAAUUCUUAUUACUUCUUAAUCUCUAUUCGUUAGUGGAUUCCCUCUAGUGCUAGACUAGAGUUUCUUUAACUAUUGGUAAGGAGACAUAACUAAAAGAGGGUUUUGACAUGAGAUUAAAGAUUAAAAGGGUCCAAUGCCCAAAUUAGCAAUGUAUGAUUGUCUUUCAUUUCUAAUGGCUCAAUUAAAAUGGUUUUAAUUGGAUUGAUAAGCACGUAAUUAAAUUGACACAACCUCCCCGAGUUUAUAUUCAACAAUGAUGGCUCGUUGUUGCAAUAACCUAAUAAGUCCAUAGUCAUCCAAGAGCCUAAGAUAACUAUAAAGUCCAAUUUCAAAGGAAUGCAAAAACCAUAGUAGUAGUAGUUACUUCCAAUAUUUGAAAAAUUUGUUUUUGAUAUUGAUUUGUUUUUCUCAAAACAAAUAGUGGGAGUAUCAUACGCUACUAGACUAUAAUGAAUACAAUUAGUAGUUAUAUAAAUAUCUCCAAUAUUUUGAAAAAUGUUUUGAUAUUGAUUUGUUUUAUGAAAACGAAUAGUGGGGAUAUUGUAUGCUACUAAAUUCAUUAACUUUGGACUAGUAGUUAUAAUAGGACAAUUUAUUUGAUUGUGAUUAAAUAAAUAAAAUUGAUGAGACCUUAAAAUCCCUCAACCAAACAAUAUUAAGUUGUAAGCGUAAAAGUGCUUAGAACACUUUUUCGUGGCCUUCCACCGUGGUAGGCUCCAAGCGUUUAUGACUUGUACACCGCCUUCACCCUAUCAUGGGGAAGUGACAAAGUGCAUGCUUAUAUUCAGGAGGAGUUUAUUUAAAACAUUUGAUGAGGUUAAGGUAGGCAACGAGUAUGGCCAACAUCGUAUCAUCGUGAGGUCAUGCUUGAACCCCUAGCUGAACCGGCAUGGUGGGAAAGAACUUAACUAAGAAACAUAAUGCCAACAUCGUAUCAUCGUGAGGUAUUAUUUUCUAGAGGCCAAAAAGAUGGGUAAUCACAAGAGGUUGUUGUGAAUGGGUACUUGUACCCUCUCAUUAUUAUUGUUGCUAGCGGACAUCGUAUCAUCGUGAGGUGGGCUUGGUAAUAGUGAGCCUCCCAUAACCCGCUAGGAGCUUGCUUUGAAAUCUCCCGGAUUCCAUUAUGGGGGAUAUGGAAUUUGCCAAAAAUGGUGGGUGGUGUCAUUCGGUUUAAAGACCCAAAUCGUUUGACUUAAACAACAAUCAAUCUAAUUAUUUUAUUUGUUUAUGUAUAUAGAUAUGGUUGGAAGCACACUCGCGAAAAUACUCGACAAACAUUGCCUAGAGGGGCACAAUUUCCCAUCAUGGUAUCGUAAUGUCAAGAUUCUCCUAACCUUGGAGAAAUUGUUUACGUACUAGACAAGGCUCCACCUCACAUACCUCUUGGCCCUGACGCCACUGAGGAUGAACGUGCUAAGUAUGACAAGCACGUUGAGGACGAUACACAAGCCAAGUGCUAUCUGUUGGCUUCCAUGAAUGAGGAGCUACAGAGACAGCACGAGGGCAUGGACAGUGCAUCUUCCAUAAUACUCCAUCUUACGGAGUUAUAUGGUGAAGGGACGCGCAACCGUCGCUUUAGCACUGUCUGUGAACUUGUGAAGACCAAGAUGGUCAAGGGGGCUCCAGUGCAUCAACAUGUACUGAAGAUGAUAGGAUUCAUUGAACAAUUGGAGAACCUUGGUACUCCACUUGACGGGGAAUUAGCCCAGGACUUCAUAUUGGCUUCUCUUUCUGAUUCAUUUCUCGCAGUUCGUAAUGAACUACAACAUGAAUAAGAUGGAUAUAUAGUCUCUCUCCGAGUUACUAAACAUGUUAGUAACCACCGAGAAGACUAUGAAGAAAGAGAACGUUGUAGGGACUUGCAGCUGCAGUAGCCUACAAUAAGCCAUCCUCUUCCAAGGCCAAGCCGCAAGGCAAAGGCAAAGGGAAGGAGAAGAAGUCCCCCACUCCUAAGCCGAAAAGGAGGAGUGAGGAAAAGAAGGAACAAUGGAGCCCAAAGGGGAAAGGAGGGGGCAUUUGGAUGAGGGAAUUGCAGGUAUUACCUUGCAAGUCUUUAAAGUUACACAAAUAUGGUUAUUAUUUCAAUCUUCUAAUUUCUAAAGCUAAUCACUUGUAUAAUUGUAUAUAGGUGGAGAAGCCAAGUAGAACAAGCAAGAAAAUGUGGUGAAGGGUUCGGCCACUAUGUUUUUUGCUAACUACUUAGGAAGUUUUAGGCAUUUAAAGAUUCUUUUAAACUUUCUUAUUUUGUUAAGAACUACUUCAUUUGAUGGAAGGCCACUAUUAGUGCCUAAAUGUAUGGCAUUUAUGUUAGUCUCUAAAUGUAUAGAGCUAAUACCUUUUGUAUUAAACAUUAUGAAUGUUUGAACUAAUCAUAUUAAUGUAAUGUGAAGUAUGCCUUUUUUUUUAAUAUACUAUUUCCUUAAAGUAGUGUUAUGAAUUGAAAAUUGUCUUGAUGUAUCCUAGAUGAGAUACAAGAGUUAUAUCACUUAAUUGUAAUGUGAUAAACCAAACUUUAGAUUUAUCAAUUAUGGAUAGAUCUCACAUGUAGGACAUAAAAGGAUACAAUGAAUCUUUAGAUUUGGUUCCAUUUGUCUACUUAUGAGUUCUAUAUGAAUUGAAAUUGACAAAAGUCCUUUCUUGAAGAAAAGGAAGAUCACACAUUACAAUGAUAUAAGUAAUAAGAAAAACGUUUCUUAUAAGGUUAUCACUUGAAACACAAUGAUCAAGAUCACUCUUGAUUCAAUUAAUAGUUUUGAACAAUUAAUUGGGCAUUCUUAAAAAUUGUUUUAAAAUGUAAAAUUGUGUUAGUGAUUAAACCAAGAAAGAAGUGUCUAAAUCUAUAAAAGACUUUAGUUUAAAAACAAACAUUAUUUAAACUUUGACUUAGUUGAAACAAAUUAAAUAAACAAAUAAAAUUAAAAUAACAAGACAUUAAACUUAGUGAAGAUUGAAACAAAUAAGCUUGAAAUGUUUCAAAGCUACUACACAAUGUCUUCUACCAAUAUAAUCCACUUUUAUACAUUUUGAAUGUAUGAAAUGAUUUCUCAUUAAAGUCAUGAGAAAUAGUGGGGUGAAAAAUGGAUAUAAACUUGAAUGUGAUUGGUUUAUAGUUGUCUAAAGAAUAAUAGUACUUGACUAUUAUUAAGAGUUUGUAAUUUUAAUUGUUAAAAGGACUCAAGCUCUUCAAACGUUAAAAAUCUAUGUUGUGUAACAUUUAAAGAAUAGUCUUUGAAUGUUGGUUUCGUCAACCUAGCAUAAAAUGGUUAUAUGUUGGGAGUUGUCCAUCAUUCUCUUUUAUGAGAACAUGCUAAUAACAAAGCAUAUGGACAAGUUGAUGAAACAAAAGGGAAUAAGUUUCAAAAUGAGUCACAACAUAUGGUUUAACAACUAGACAAUCCAAAUUCAACAUCUCAUGUAACGAUAUUGCUCUAUGUAGUUUUGAUAGAGAAUUAUAUCAACCACCUAGAAGGAAUGGUUGAGAAUCUAUAUCCUUAGUAGGAGCCAUGCUUCCACUAAAGACUUAGAUAAUUCUUAUAUGACUACAUUAAAAGUCUUAGUAUGACUAAAACUUGUAGUAUGGUGUAUGACAUCGUAUAAUUAAAUGAAUAGACUUGAUAAAACAAGUCACAUAUACAAAAGGAAUUACUUUAAAAGGAAUUCUUUUUAUGUGAUUCGUUUAAUAACUUGUGUUAGCUAGGGUUGUUGAUGGUCUCAAAAUUGUUGAGACAUCAUCAAUAAGCUAAUGGAUCUCAAUGGAUCCAAGACAAGUUAAUGGGAGCAACACGCAUUCAAAUCAAGAAAAUAUAAGUGUUAUUUUUGAAUGAAUGCUAAGUUACAACAAGGCCAGUGGGAGUGAUGUCAUAAUUUGAGCAACAAGAUAUGAAUAAAGUCUAUUUGAUAGACUUGAUGAAACAUAGAUGUUACUCGAAAUGACAAAACUUGACACGGUCAAUUUUGAAAUAUAGACUUGAAAUUAGCAAGGCUAUCUCAAUAAUGUUAUAUGGGAAUUAAAUCUCAAAUGUUGAAGAUUUAAGAAAGCAUUUUCCUAUUUGAUAAGAAAUCACUUUCACAACCCUUAUAAUGAAUGUGUCAUAAAAUCACAAAAGGGACACAUGUGUUGACUUGUGAAGUAGAUAUCCAAAGGUGAAGAAACCACUGAGUUUAUCACUUUAAGAUAUUACUAUAUCCCAGGAUCAGAACCAAAGCAACUGAUAGAGUAUUAUUGCCUUUGAGAAAGAAACAUCAGAGUGGGACUCUGGAAGCGUGCAUUCACUUAGGUUGUUAACCAAAGUGAAAAUAAGCCAUUUUAACAAAUGGAACUUCAUGAUGGAUGAAGUACUAAUCAUAUGAAUGAAUUGUUAGUAUUGUACUACAAUGGUCUCAAGCUUGGAGCAAAGUUUGUAUAAAGUAUACAAACGAAAUAUAUGUCGAUAUAUAGUUUUAGAAACUGCUUCAAAAGGUGUAUUGAAUGAAAGGGGUUCUUUUAGAACCCAUGAUUGAAUCCAAACCAUAAGGUCGUUAGUAGAGUACUACGACGUAAUGGGGCGAUAGCUCAAGCCAUGGAAUCAAGGUCUCAUCAAAGUAUUCGAACACAAUAAAGAGACAUCAUCUAAUGUUUUGGAAACAUUAGAUAAGUAAAUCCCUUUUGAAUAAUAAAAGGGAUUAAUACAUAACCAAGUUAACCUACGAGCAUAAACUCUCUCAACAAGAUGUAUAAGAUACACUAGGGAUUGACUUUAGUGCAAGUGGGAGAUUGUUGGAAAUAUGCCCUGAAAGUCAAUCUUUGGAAGAAAUCUUUCAGGACAAAUAUAUGGAUGUAUGGAUGAAUCUUAUACAUCAAAUGGCAAAGACACGAAUUAGGACUAUCUCAAUAAACGAUAUAUGUCCUAAAUAGUGUAUCCAUGGACAAUGGAUCGAUUGAAGAAGUAAUCUAAUGAUGUUAGACUACAGAGACCUUCUUCAUAUAACCAGAUGUCCAAAAAGGUUCCUGAUCGUUGGAUUGUCGGAGGGAUACUGACAAUGCGGAGACCGGUACAUACUAUGUCUGCUUCAAUUGGAAGGAUGGAAAGUCUCAUCCCAUUCGUGUUGUGACACUAAGACAAGUAUGUAGGUGCUCAUUAAGGGAAUGAGUUCAUUGAACACAAUCAAACGGGAGUACUUGCAUGGAGGUCUACUCACAUGUCAAGCAAGUAACUCUAAUGGUUGGAAAGAUGUAAGUAAUC
rnacentral:lncRNA from 1 species